UUAGCGUCAAUGGAGUUGUCGCAACUCUACCUUUAUAUGGCUCUGGUUCAUCCUAUUAGCUAUUAGCUGACACAGCAGAAUUCUCUGAAUUCUCUCUCAAAAGGAAGCACUUUCACUAGGACGCCUUAAAAGGCAGAAGACCAUAUAAGAGAAUGUUUUAUCUACAUCCGAUCCUGCCUGUAUUCAAAGCAAUUCACAUCCUGUUUAUGGAGGGUGGCAAAACACCCACUGCUUCCUAGAACAAUAAUCAUUUACCAAGGAAAUCACAACAUUGAGCAACACGCAUUGUCCAUGUGUUGACGUGAAAGCGGUUGAUUCAUUCACGUUGGCCAGAAGCCCCAGAAGCAUUCAAUCGUGGCAUUCUUAUGAUCUGUCUUUACCAUAAUGACAAACUUUUUUUUUAGUUUUAGAAUUUAUGUUACAAAUAAAAGGUGCUUGGCUGAAGCACCUUUGCCAGUGAUUACAUGCCAAAGUCAUAUUGGCUUUGACAUCACAGUUGUUGGCACAGAACUGGAGACUCUCACUACCACUGCUGAGAAGAGGACACUGAGCAGACUUGACUCUAUAAUGGACAAUUACAAUCACCCCCUGCACCCAGUCUUUGACAACCAGAGAAGCGCAUUCAGCUACAGAUUCCGUGCCAUCCCAUGCAAGACAGACAGGCUACGGAGGUCCUUUGUCCCCAGGGCCAUCCAGUUGCUCAACACCACACAGAAGGACACCCAGAAAGAGAUCAUCAUAGGUGACUGGACUGCAUAAUCAACCUUCCCACACCUGCACACUCAUCUGCACAUAGUGACACUUUGAGACACCUGACACUUGAACACUUUUUCCAGUUAUUGACUCUUUUUAGCUGCUCUUGCUAUGUACCACUCAGCUAUGGCACAUGUGAUGAACCACUAUUUUCUUCUCAUCACAACCACAGCUGUGUGUGUGUGUGUGUGUGUGUGUGUGUGUGUGUGUGUGUGUGUGUAUGUGUAUGUGAGAGAUCUGACUUUGGCAAGAUGUGUGUAAGCGUGUGCUGUAUGGUGAACAUAUGUGCAAUGGUGUGUGUAAUGUCUUUCUGUUUUUCUAUUCUGUAUUUAUGUAUGUAUGCUACUGGACACCUUAAUUUCCCUCGGGAUAAAUAAAUGAUACUCUACUCUA